rnacentral:lncRNA from 1 species
UUUAUCCCCAGCAGGUCCUCUUUCAUUUACUGUUUGCCGGUAAUGUCUGUUGUUCCCUUUGAUCGGUCAUCAUUAUAUACCUAGUUUUGGUAUCCCGAUGCCUUUCUUUUCGGAUGAUUUAUCCUUUAUUAACCCAGUAACCGGUUGUGGAUAAUCGUCCAUGCGAGUAUAUUAUCUACGUUCUGACGGUAAUAGAUAAUAUAU